rnacentral:lncRNA from 1 species
AGCACCUUCGAGAAUCUCUCUCUCUCUCUCUCUCUCUCUCUCUUUUGUAGUGCUGUCUGCUCAUCUCCUUUCAACUUCUAUCAGCCAUCUUUCAUCUCAGGAUCAUGUUCCAGGCACGUUCUCUCUCUCUCUUCUCUAAUCAAUUUUCUUACCAAUGAUCAUAUGAUGUUUUGUUGCUAUAACUUCUAUUACGUAGUAUUUUGCCUCUCUCUAGCUAUCAAUUUUCUUACUACGUUUUUGUUUUUUCUUUUCAUUUUUUUAGGUAACCAUGUUGUAUACUAGAAUAAGAUCAAUCCAUCAUGUAAAAGAUUGGAUCGGCUUAGGAAUAGGUACGACAAUUUUACUUUGGAAUAGUAAAUAAGUAGGUUCGUACAAUAUUUUUACUAUCUGUGAGUUCAGGUUAGAAAAUUCAAAUAAACGUUACUUAUUUUCUAUUUUGAUUAAUAUUCUAAAAUAUUUGAAAGUAAUUUAUUUAUUUUUUUAAAAAUUACAUAUGUAUAUUUCUAAUUAUAAUUAGUACUAUAACUAAUAUUAAUAUUGUAUUUUUUAUUAAGUCAAUAGAAUGUUAUAGUUCUUACUUAUAUUUAGUUUCAAAACUAAAAAAAAAAGCAAAAUAAUAUUCUAAAAUCAAAAUGAUAUUUAAGUGGGUCCGAGUAUUAAAUGAACAAUUGUGAUUGAAUUUGAAAAAUAUUUCAAUAAUAAAUAAAUUUUUAAACGGGGUGGAAAUUAAUUCAGUUAUCUAAAUAGUAGAUUCAACUAGAUAUCCAAUCCGUUGCUAACCUAUUAGGAGCUUCAAUUUUGAACUGAAUUGAAAUUAAGCGUGGGGUUCGAAGCCAACAAGUCCAAAAUAAUGUGUCAUCAUACGCACAAACAUUCCAAGGACACAUGAUGUCCUAAGUUGAUACUUGAUGGAACUAUAUCCAAGUCUCGUGAUAAUUUAAAAUAAUUUAAAUUUAUAUUACAAAUGAUACAAAUAAAAAUAUACUUGUUAAUUAGGUGAUGAUCUUAUUGAUUUUUUUCACUUACGUGAAAAAAGAGAUAUCUCGAAUUUAAAUUCUCUCGACUAUAAUUGUUUUCCUCUCUGAUGUGUAGCCUGCACCAAAUUGGCGAAAAACUAGUGGUAAAAAAAGCUCUUAUAAAUAUAACUUAUUACAUUCUUUCGCCAUUUUCUUUAUAAAAAUACUCCAUAGUCUAUGAUUAUAAAACAUGGAAGGCAAAAACAUUAGACAUUCAUAGAUUAUUUAUAGUAUGAAGCUUUUAAAUUCUAAAUUGAACAAAACUGAAUAAGAUCAAAAUAAAAAAAAAAAAAUCGAAGAAUCAAAUUUCUGAACUGAAUUUUUAAGACAAUUCUGUUCCAGAUCUUUAAACCUUCAUAUGUACUUUCAAUUUUCUCUAGAAUGGAAAUUCAAUUCAGUCCCAAAACUUUUCGAAAUGUAAACUAGACUCGAUCGAAGACAAAUCCUAUCUAGACUCAUCUCUAGCCAAGUUAUAUAUACACUAUAAUAAGCCAGCAAGUGCAUAAUGUUAACAUCUUUAAAAAGCAACAUUACCACAAAAUCUCCAGAUACUCUAUUAACACAUCUUAUUCUCUGCCUGCCUGAAGAAGCAUUGAAGAAAACAAAUUUACAAAAUAUAUAUAUAUAUAUAUAUAUAUAUAUAUCUAUUUUUUUUUUUUUUUGAGAAAAAAAUGUACAUCUCAAAUAAAUACAAUUGUGCCUCUCCUUUCGUAUAUGCGUUGAUGGUGGCUUUACAACUUUCUCAUAAUGUUCAUCAUAAAGGCAAUCCUUGCCUAUUACUAUUUAUUCUGAAUACAUUCCACCAAUCUUCUCAGCUAGUUUGGGAUUUUGGCUUAGUUGUUGUUGGUAUAUAUUUGACAUAUCUUCAGUUAUUCUUUGCCAAGUUACUAAAUGUUAUAAUCAUAAAGUGCCACAUCGUUACGAUGACAAAUCAAUAAACCCUGCAACAUUAAGGAAAAUAAUUUAUGUUCUCUUCUUGACGUCCAUGCUUGCCUCAAACAAAAGAGGGACAAAAACCAAAAUUGAGUUCCGUACCUGUAAAAAUGGGGGGUUCAUUGACAACUAGCUUAUGUGAGAUUCGACCCAAUUUUUGCUGGUCUAAGACUCUUUUGAGCCCUUCGUGCGUGGUCAAAUACAAAAAUGAAGAGACUACAUACGUAUAAUAGGCAUAACCGUAGCUUUCCUAUUAUACCACAGGUUAAGUGGACAUUGUUUCCAUCCUCUGCGCGAACUAAUAUAUCUCCCUUCAAACAGCCUGACAACAAACAUUAAACAAUAAAUAAAAAUCAUCACAUGAUCUCAUAAAGAAAGUAGUACAGGGUUGUGUAGCAAUGUGGAUACAGCUAACUACUGACUGUCCAAGAAGAUAUCAGAACUCUUCAACAAGUUUCUAACAGGAAUAUAUUAUCAGCAGUGUUUUUUAUCCUAGCCCUUUUCUAUCUUGAGCUCCCUAAACACAAAGCAUAUCAAAAUUGUUUACCAAGAAGGCAGGCAUUUCCUUCUUGGAAGAAUACUAGGGUGUUGCAGCACUGAAAUACAUGGGAUUUCAUGAAAUUCCAAGAUUUACAACAUCUAUAUCCUCUUCCUUGGCCCUACUUAAGAAUGAAAAUAAAAUCAGGAAGGGGAUGCUUAAGCAUUGGCCUUAUGGCACAUUUAUAUGUCUCCUAUGAUAGAAGCCUAGGUUUUCAAACUCAAAUAUUAUAAAUAAUUCAGCUAAAAACCAAGUAUCAUGUAGAUGCUCAAUAUUGCGCUUUAUAUUCAUCACUGUAAGCUUUCCCCAGCCCUUUCUCAUCAAUGGACUCCUGAUAUAUACGAGGGAGUGCGGCUUCGAGAAAUUCCUACUUCUCUAUCCAUUGCUGAGAUGCUUGGAUUUUCCAAAACUCCAUGGACAUACAGAAGAGAAAUGCUAUCCCCACUCGGACCAAGACAUAACUUUUACUUGUUAAAAUAGUUGGACAUAAUAGUUGUGACUUAGGAAUAAGUCCUCUUUAAGAGAUGCUUAGGACACAAUAACUCAAUUAUGCAGGAAGAAUGUAGCACCGUCUUAUCUUAACUUUAAGUUGGUUUAUCAGUCUAUGCCAGCAUGUAAAAGAAAACAAUUAACGGAAUGAUGCUUAGGACACAAUAACUCAAUUAUGCAGGAGGAAUGUAGCACCGUCUUAUCUUAACUUUAAGUUGGUUUAUCAGUCUAUGCCAGCAUGUAAAAGAAAACAAUUAACGGAAUGCAUCAAGAGGUGAUGUACUAAUCUCAGAUGUGCAAUUGAGGUUUUUUGUUUGGGAUAAUUAUUAUUUUAUCCGUAUAUUUUACCAAAAUUUACUACUUUGUCUUUGUAAUUUUUAAAAAUAGACUAUUUUACCAAUAACUUCUGCAACCAUCCAACAUUUCGGUCCUUUUUCUUUUUAAGCUUUUAACUGUUAAUUCAUACAAAAAAAAGAAGCCCCAAACAUAACCACUCUUUUUUCUCUCUGAAACCAUGAGUCUCGCUUGCUUCUUCAUACUUUGGCUCCAAAUCCUAGCAUUCAUUUCUAAAAGUUCCCUCUCCUUUCACUCCAUCUCCACCAUUGAUCCAGUUGCAAAUUUGCAAUCAUUAAACUCCAUUUACAGAGAAAGAGAGAUCAUUAACCAAAUUAAAAAGAAAGUAACAACAAUAGUUAAAACUCUUUGCAGAAAUUAGUUUUUUUUAUUAAUUUUAUCACAAUAAUGGCAGCAGAAGCAAAGGGGUUGAAGGUGAAAGCAGGGCUGAGAUUGUGGAUUUGGGGAGCUCUCGCUUUGAAGUUGCAUGUGGACCUUAAUUAGAUCAAGAGGGUGAGUAGAGCAGCUAUUAACAGUUGAAGCAAUCCCUUCAACAAAACCUUUGAUACCCAUGGCUAGUAGUUCUC